CGACGGAGGUGGCUAGCGUUGUUCGGAAUUACUGGGCGUAAAGCGCGCGUAGGCGGAUUGAUCAGUCUGGGGUGAAAUCCCGAGGCUUAACCUCGGAACUGCCUCUGAUACUGUCAAUCUUGAGUUCGAGAGAGGUGAGUGGAAUUCCUAGUGUAGAGGUGAAAUUCGUAGAUAUUAGGAAGAACACCAGUGGCGAAGGCGGCUCACUGGCUCGAUACUGACGCUGAGGUGCGAAAGCGUGGGGAGCAAACAGGAUUAGAAACCCUAGUAGUCC
rnacentral:rRNA from 1 species